UAAAGCUCGUAGUUGGAUCUGUGUCCCGCGCCGCCGGUUCACCGCCUGUCGGUGUUAAACUGGCGUGUAUGCGGGACGUCCUGUCGGUGGCGGUCCGGGGCYUCGUUGACCGUAGGGGCAGUCCAGGUUUAUCCUGCGUCGGUCCUGAAGGCCGGCGUAUGCUUCCGGCCGCCUUGUCAAUCCCGCCGCGGUGCUCUUCACCGAGUGUCGAGGCGGGCCGGCACGUUUACUUUGAACAAAUUAGAGUGCUUUAAGCAGGCUCUUUCCCGCCUGUAUACUGUGUGCAUGGAAUAAUGGAAUAGGACCUCGGUUCUAUUUUGUUGGUUUUCGGAAUCUGAGGUAAUGAUCAAUGGGGACAGGCGGGGGCAUUCGUAUUGCGACGUUAGAGGUGAAAUUCUUGGAUCGUCGCAAGACGGACCGAAGCGAAAGCAUUUGCCAAGUAUGUUCUCGUCGAUCAAGAACGAAAGUUAGAGGUUCGAAGGCGAUCAGAUACCGCCCUAGUUCUAACCAUAAACUAUGCCUGCCAGCGAUCCGCCGGCGUUCCUCCGAUGACCCGGCGGGCAGCUUCCGGGAAACCAGAGCUUUUGGGUUCCGGGGGAAGUAUGGUUGCAAAGCUGAAACUUAAAGGAAUUGACGGAAGGGCACCACCAGGAGUGGAGCCUGCGGCUUAAUUUGACUCAACACGGGAAAACUCACCAGGCCCGGACACCGGAAGGAUUGACAGAUUGAGAGCUCUUUCUUGAUUCGGUGGGUGGUGGUGCAUGGCCGUUCUUAGUUGGUGGAGCGAUUUGUCUGGUUAAUUCCGAUAACGAACGAGACUCUAGCCUACUAACUAGACGUAUCCGGUAUCCACAAUCGUGCUACCGGCGAGCAAAUUUCUUCUUAGAGGGACAGGCGGCUUCUAGCCGCACGAGACUGAGCAAUAACAGGUCUGUGAUGCCCUUAGAUGUCCUGGGCCGCACGCGCGCUACACUGAAGGAAUCAGCGUGUCUUCCCUGUCCGAAAGGACCGGGUAACCCGCUGAACCUCCUUCGUGCUAGGGAUUGGGGCUUGCAAUUGUUCCCCAUGAACGAGGAAUUCCCAGUAAGCGCGAGUCAUAAGCUCGCGUUGAUUACGUCCCUGCCCUUUGUACACACCGCCCGUCGCUACUACCGAUUGAAUGAUUUAGUGAGGUCUUCGGACUGGUGCGCGGAGGUGGCUUCUGUUGCCUCCGAUGUUGUCGGAAAGAUGACCAAACUUGAUCAUUUAGAGGAAGUAAAAGUCGUAACAAGGUUUCCGUAGGG
rnacentral:rRNA from 1 species